UUGGAAUGAAAACUGACAUUUUCCAGUCCUGUGGCCACUGCUGAGUUUUCCAAAUUUGCUGGCAUAUUGAGUGCAACACUUUCACAGCAUCAUCUUUUAGGAUUUUAAAUAGCUCAACUGGAAUUCUAUCACCUCCAUUAGCUUUUUUCGUAGUGAUGCUUCCUAAGGCCCACUUGACUUUCCAUUCCAGGAUGUCUGGCUCUAGGGUCCAGGGCACUGAGUGUGGCACUAAGUGUGGCAUUGUGUACACAGGACCUUUUGAAGGUCACCAUUUUCUUCAUUACCUCCACCAUAGUUUGCCCUCAGAUCAAACAACCGGGAGGGAACACAGCCCCACAUAUCUACAGAAAGUUGGAUUAAAGAUUUACUGAGCAUGAUCCUGCCCAUAAGAACAAGGCCCCUUCAGUCAGUGUCUCCCAUCAGGAAGCUUCCAUAAGCCUCUUAUCCUUAUCCAUCAGAG
ensembl:lncRNA